AACUCGACUGCAUGAAGCUGGAAUCGCUAGUAAUCGCGGAUCAGAAUGCCGCGGUGAAUACGUUCCCGGGUCUUGUACACACCGCCCGUCACACCAUGGGAGUCGGAUAUGCCCGAAGUCAGUGACCCAACCGCAAGGAGGGAGCUGCCGAAGGUGGAGCCGAUGACUGGGGUGAAGUCGUAACAAGGUAAC
rnacentral:rRNA from 1 species